GUGGGGAAUAUUGGACAAUGGGCGCAAGCCUGAUCCAGCCACGCCGCGUGUGUGAUGAAGGUCUUCGGAUCGUAAAGCACUGUGGAGAGGGACGAAAAGCAUCGGGCUAAUACCUCGGUGCCCUGACGGUACCUCUUUAGCAAGCACCGGCUAACUCCGUGCCAGCAGCCGCGGUAAUACGGAGGGUGCAAACGUUGCUCGGAAUCAUUGGGCGUAAAGCGCGUGUAGGCGGCCAUGCAAGUCGAGUGUGAAAGCCCUGGGCUCAACCCAGGAAGUGCGCUCGAAACUGCACGGCUUGAGUACGGGAGAGGGUAGCGGAAUUCCCGGUGUAGAGGUGAAAUUCGUAGAUAUCGGGAGGAACACCAGUGGCGAAGGCGGCUACCUGGACCGAUACUGACGCUGAGACGCGAAAGCGUGGGGAGCAAACAGGAUUAGAAACCCGAGUAGUCC
rnacentral:rRNA from 1 species